AAACUGACCUCCUCAAACUUCAAACUGAAUACUUCUGGCAGUUACCACGACGACAGAGCUCUCCAAGCCUUAUCCUACUUACCGAGACGAGACGAGGAGCGAGGAAGAGGUGGGAGGAAGGAGAGCAGGAGCGAGGGAGUUGGCCCCGAGGGGACACCCACACUGAAAGAGGCCACUCUUCCAUUCAACAACAGCUUCUGUCAGAGAGACGAAGAGAGGGAGACCUCAGAGUCACCAGCUCCAGAAUAGCCUGAUAGUGACUGAUGCAAUCAAUCGAAAUCUACACUACAGUCCACACCAUCGUCCAGCGAGCCAGAUUUUACGCAUAAUAAAAGGAAAUUGCUCUCGCUCGGAGCUGAGCAAAUGCAGAAAUUUUAAAAA